GCCGGGCGAGGUGGCGGGCACCUGUAGUCCCAGCUGCUUGGGAGGCUGAGGCAGGAGAAUGGCGUGAACCCGGGAGGCGGAGCUUGCAGUGAGCCCAGAUCACGCCACUGCACUCCAGCCUGGGCGACAGAGCGAGACUCCAUCUCAAAAAAAAAAAAAAGACGGAGUCUCGCUCUGUCGCCCAGGCUGGAGUGCAGUGGCCCGAUGCCGGCUCACUGCAACCUCUGCCUCCCGGGUUCAAGCGAUUCUCCUGCCUCCA
rnacentral:SRP_RNA from 1 species